rnacentral:lncRNA from 1 species
AUGACAGAUGAGGAGCUGAAGACUUAUUUGCCAUCAUAUGGUGAUCGUCUAGCAGUAUUUGGAUUUUGCAGACGGAGGGGCAGCAGCCGCAAGUCAGCGCUUUUUGAACGGCUGAAAUCCAAACUGUCCAAAAGAAAAUUAUCUGAAGAGGAUGGCAGUAGUACACGGCAAGAAGAACAUUCCCAAACAACCCAUAAAAGAAAUGCUCUGAAGAGAAAUAGAAAAAUAGAAAUAGGAUGGAUGCAUUAUGAUGAAGACACUGAGGUUUUCAAGCAGGUUAGAGCUAGACGAGGAGGAGGAACAAGAAAAAUAGACAUUUGCAAGGAUGCCAAGAAAAGGGACAUAUUACAGGUUGCAACAGGCUUGUUCUUUCCAGAUGGAGGAAACAUUCAGGGGCCCUUAACAGAUUUCGACUGUGAUCUAAAGGAUUAUCAAGAGAUGAUAGUCGAUGAUGCAUUGACAGUAGGAGAACUUUAUCAUGUCACAAAACUAAAUAUCCUCAGGUUCUACCUCACCACAAAGAAAAAACAAAAUGACAGCCUUCAGAGUUCCAGCCCAGGUUUGCAUCCAUCUUCAGAAAUUGAAGAGAGUCCUCAAAACCAAACCUCUUCUUUUACUGUCACUACAGUCCAAACAUCUGCUCCAUUUGAAACAAUCAGCCAUGAUGUGCCAUACAUUGAAGACACUCCAAACGAUAACCUUCCACAAUCUUCCACGCAGUCUCUAAGUGCUAACACUUCUCACAGCAGUGACAUUAUUUUUGUUGGCCCCUUUUCUGACAGUGAGCCAAUAAAUUUGGAUGACACCCUGAUUUUUUCUCCACACCCUGGUCCAUCCAGUGAGAGAGUGAGGAGAGUAGUGGUGGUCCACAGAGGGCAGGUAAUGUCAGAGCUCAUUUCACAUUUUAGUGAUAAGGACCUUGAAGAUGUCGACAUCAAAAUCCAGUUCGUACUGCCUGAUGGAACACCUGAAAUGGCCCAUGACGAUGGGGGAGUUGUGAGAGAUUGUCUUUCAGAAUUCUGGAAAGAAUUCUAUGACCAGUGCCCUUCUUAA